rnacentral:rRNA from 1 species
UACGAAGGGGGCUAGCGUUGUUCGGAAUUACUGGGCGUAAAGCGUGCGUAGGCGGUUCGUUAAGUUUGUCGUGAAAGCCCCGGGCUCAACCUGGGAAUGGCGAUGGAAACUGGCGGGCUGGAGUAUGGCAGAGGGGGGUGGAAUUCCGCGUGUAGCAGUGAAAUGCGUAGAGAUGCGGAGGAACACCGAUGGCGAAGGCAGCCCCCUGGGCCAAUACUGACGCUCAGGCACGAAAGCGUGGGGAGCAAACAGG